AUAGUACGUACACCUUCCCUUACCUUACUAACUAUUAAAGAAUAAGACUUCCAUCUCCAAUGUUUCUUGGUAGAUAUCGUCUCCCUCGCAAAACCUAUGUCUCUUUUUCCAGUGAUGUUCCGGUCACUGGCGAGGCUUCUUACAUCGUUAAUAAUUGAGCCUGCGGCUUCUGUCUCCACCGUACUAUUUUACAGUGAACUUCUGCCUCAGAAUAUCAUUUUGGAAAGACUAGUUCGACAUGAUUUGCUUUACAGUGAAAAUUAUCUGUUUCGUUUCCUCGUUAACUUCUUGAGAUGCUUCUGGUAGAUGAAUAUCAUUAUCUUCAUAUUGAUUGUAGCUCAAAUGCUUCUGCUACACUAAUGCUAUUGAAGCUUCAACCAA